AUGGAAAUUUCCCUCCCUGAACUCCCAAGACCCCAGUCUUUAUUUCAGAGCAUUGGCGUCCAAGGACAAGCCGGGUCCCCGUAUAUGAAGAGCCAGUUUGCAGAGCUUGCACCAUGGCUGCCAUCCCUCUGGCUAGCCCCUGGCUUUCCCGCAGGUGAACCCUUCUGCUGCCUUCUGGGAGUUAUGAAGAAUCCCUUUCAAACAGCGAAGCUGCUUCAAGUGCUUCUUGGGGCUGACCCAAAUGUUCACACCCCUUCGGGGACACAUUCCAAGAAAAAGCAUCAUUUUUUCCAAGCAGCAAUUCUGUCCAGAGGACUCUUCAGAAGUGUUUAUUGCAAGAGAAGAGCUUGGGAAUCUGUAUCCCCAAAGAGUGUUUUUCUGUGGGGUCUGAUGGAAGAAUAAAUAUUGUCCAACCUUGAAAUUUAAAACAGCCGAAUAUCUAUCCUUGGAUACCUAGGAUAGCCUCAAAUAAAGUACAGGGGGGAUAAUUCAGAACUAAAGUCCAACUCUGGGUCCUUCAUCCAUGUAAUAAAUAUUUAUUGAGCGCCUAUUAUGAGCCAGGCCAGUUCUAGAUACUUCAGAUUCCUUGAUGAGAGCAAGAUAGACAUGGUCCCUUCUCUCAUAUUCUUGUAUUACAGGCCUAUAAACAUGAAAAAAAAAGUUCCAUCUCAUGAGUAAUCAGGAACUGUAAAUUAGAACUACAGUCAGUUAAAAUUUCAUAUCCCUCAAAUUGGCAAAAAUUGACAAGUAGGGCAAUGCCAACUGUUAGUGAGGAUGUGCUAUAACUUGAGUUCUCACCUGUGCUGGUGGGAGUGGAGCUUGGUAUAUGCACUUUGGAAGAGCUGCACAGACCUUAGUGAAUUUGGAUGUGUGCAUAACCUAGGCCUAGAAAUUCCACUAGGGUGUGAGCAGAGACACCUGCUCACGAACACCAGGAGACACAUUCAAGAGUGUUCCCAGCAGCAUCAUUCAUGAUACUGGAUACAACCAGACAGUGGGCCAAUGGGACAGUACGGAACUAAACUGCUGUGUAUUUAUACGGCGGAACACUCUAGGCUGAUGAAAAUAAAUGACAGACAGCUACGCACAUCCACAGGGAUGAACCUCAGAAACAUAACCCUGAACAAAAGAAGCAAGUCACAGAAUGCAUACAAUAUGCUUCCAUUCGUGUAACUUUCAAAAACAGGUAAAACUAAACAAUUAACCAAUAUGUACCUUAGGUUAAUAGCAAGGACAUUAUUCACAAAAUUCAGGAUAAUGGUUACCUUGGAGGGUCAAGGGGAGCACACCGAGACUUCUAGGGUAUUGGCCAUGGACUGUUUCUUAAGGUGGGAGGUAGGUAGUGAGGUGCACAUCGUGGUUCCACAAGAUGAAGCUGCUUGCUAUUGCUUAUGCUUAGCUGGUGACUUCUUGGUUUUAUGACAUUAAUUUAAGCUCUGUGACCAAAGUGACUCUCUGUGGUUACAGCAGUAUGCACUUAAAUGUCAGCUUUUUGCUGAAAAAGUACUUGAGUUUGAAGGAGGUCAUUGUGUUCAGUAAAAUCUGGCCAUAUUUUAUGUUUAUGGUCUUUAUUAGGACAUCCAGCUGAGCUAGUUAAAGCCCUAUCUCUAUAGUCAGUGAAAACCUAGUACUCUUGGAUUACUGGAUUCACUCAUUCAGAUAUUAUUUACUGAGCUUAUACUAGGUGCCAGGUGCUGGUAUAUACAGUGGUAAACAUCCAGGCAUGAUCCACAGACAUUUAAAGAAUAAAUACAUAGAUAAAUGUGUCAUAAAUAAGUGUUAUUAAGAAAAAGGACAAGAUACUAAAAGUAUCUAGGAGGAUCUAAUUUAGAUAGAGUGAGAGAAGAAAAGAUAAUAUUUAGCUGGGUGACAAAUGGGGGGAAAUUAUCAGGAAGAAGGAAUAGCAGGUAUAAAGCCGCACAGACAGUAAAGAACCUGUCAUAGUCAAGAAACUCUGACUGGUGCCUACCCAGAUGCACUUGGGUUUGUCCAGCCUCCAACUGUCCUACUGUCGAUUGUCCCCAGUACCUUUAAUAUACACACUCUUGUUACAAUGACCCUGGGUUACAUGCACCUCAUGGGAAAAUUAAGUUCUAUUUCCUGGUAGUUGCUUCCUACACCCUUGUUCUCCUUGACCUCACCUGCUUUCUUGGUUACUGACUCUGGGUUUUCAUUUCUCAGCUACCUCUUUGGUCCUGUCUCCCCUGCCCUCCUUCUUCUUGGCAUCACCACCCCCGUAUUUUAGUCUGCUAGGUUGCUGAAAUACAAUAUGCCAGAAAUGGUUUGGCUUUUAUGAUGGGGAUUUAUUAGCUUACAAGCUCACAGUACUGAGACUGUGAAAAUUCCAAAUCAAGGUAUGUCCAGGCAAUGCUUUCUCCCCUAAGACUGGCUCCCAGCGAUCCUAGACUUCUCUGACACAUGGCAACAUAUAUGGUUGUAUUUGCUGGUCUCUACUUUCUCUUCCAGGUUUCAUUGCUGUCAGCUCCUGGCUUCCAUGACUUUCUCUUUCAGCUUCUGUGACUUUCUCUGUCUUCUUUCUCCCUAUUCAUCAUAUUUAUAAAGGAUUCCAGUAAAAGGAUUAAGACCCUCCCUGGGUCAUGUCUUAAUUGAAGUAAUCUAUUCAAAAGAUCCCACCCACCAUAGGUUCACACCCACAGAGAUGGACCAACUUUAAGAAGAUGAUUUUCUGGGGUACAUACAGUCUCAAACUACCACACUCCACACUCUGCACUCCAAGAAGACAUGUUCCUUCCAUAUGCAAAAUGUAUUCAUUCCAUUGCAAUAUUCAUAGGCUUAACUUGCUUCAGUAACAAUGCUAAGUACAAAAUCUCAUCAAAAUCAGUAAUAGGUGUGGUCUGUCUGUCCUGGGGCACAAUUCCCCUCCAGCUGUGGAUCUCUGAAAUUUAGAACAAGUU
ensembl:lincRNA